UGCUGGGCCUGGCCUACAUGGCCGCGGCGCGGCGCCACGGCCGCCAUCUGAUGGACGCGCGGAUCAUGGUCCUCGGCCUGGUGG
rnacentral:tRNA from 1 species